rnacentral:SRP_RNA from 1 species
GCCAGGUGUGGUGGUGCACGCCUGUAGUCCCAGCUACUCAGGAGGCUGAGGCAGAAGAAUCGCUUGAACCUGGGGGAUGGAGGUUGCAGUGAGCCAAGAUCGCGCCACUGCACUCCAGCCUGGGUGACAGAGCGAGAUACUGUCUCAA